rnacentral:rRNA from 1 species
GGGUUGUGAGGUUAAGCGACUAAGCGUACACGGUGGAUGCCCUGGCAGUCAGAGGCGAUGAAGGACGUGCUAAUCUGCGAUAAGCGUCGGUAAGGUGAUAUGAACCGUUAUAACCGGCGAUUUCCGAAUGGGGAAACCCAGUGUGAUUCGUCACACUAUCAUUAACUGAAUCCAUAGGUUAAUGAGGCGAACCGGGGGAACUGAAACAUCUAAGUACCCCGAGGAAAAGAAAUCAACCGAGAUUCCCCCAGUAGCGGCGAGCGAACGGGGAGCAGCCCAGAGCCUGAAUCAGUGUGUGUGUUAGUGGAAGCGUCUGGAAAGGCGUGCGAUACAGGGUGACAGCCCCGUACACAAAAAUGCACAUACUGUGAGCUCGAUGAGUAGGGCGGGACACGUGGUAUCCUGUCUGAAUAUGGGGGGACCAUCCUCCAAGGCUAAAUACUCCUGACUGACCGAUAGUGAACCAGUACCGUGAGGGAAAGGCGAAAAGAACCCCGGCGAGGGGAGUGAAAAAGAACCUGAAACCGUGUACGUACAAGCAGUGGGAGCACGCUUAGGCGUGUGACUGCGUACCUUUUGUAUAAUGGGUCAGCGACUUAUAUUCUGUAGCAAGGUUAACCGAAUAGGGGAGCCGAAGGGAAACCGAGUCUUAACUGGGCGUUAAGUUGCAGGGUAUAGACCCGAAACCCGGUGAUCUAGCCAUGGGCAGGUUGAAGGUUGGGUAACACUAACUGGAGGACCGAACCGACUAAUGUUGAAAAAUUAGCGGAUGACUUGUGGCUGGGGGUGAAAGGCCAAUCAAACCGGGAGAUAGCUGGUUCUCCCCGAAAGCUAUUUAGGUAGCGCCUCGUGAAUUCAUCUCCGGGGGUAGAGCACUGUUUCGGCAAGGGGGUCAUCCCGACUUACCAACCCGAUGCAAACUGCGAAUACCGGAGAAUGUUAUCACGGGAGACACACGGCGGGUGCUAACGUCCGUCGUGAAGAGGGAAACAACCCAGACCGCCAGCUAAGGUCCCAAAGUCAUGGUUAAGUGGGAAACGAUGUGGGAAGGCCCAGACAGCCAGGAUGUUGGCUUAGAAGCAGCCAUCAUUUAAAGAAAGCGUAAUAGCUCACUGGUCGAGUCGGCCUGCGCGGAAGAUGUAACGGGGCUAAACCAUGCACCGAAGCUGCGGCAGCGACGCUGAUGCGUUGUUGGGUAGGGGAGCGUUCUGUAAGCCUGUGAAGGUGUACUGUGAGGUAUGCUGGAGGUAUCAGAAGUGCGAAUGCUGACAUAAGUAACGAUAAAGCGGGUGAAAAGCCCGCUCGCCGGAAGACCAAGGGUUCCUGUCCAACGUUAAUCGGGGCAGGGUGAGUCGACCCCUAAGGCGAGGCCGAAAGGCGUAGUCGAUGGGAAACAGGUUAAUAUUCCUGUACUUGGUGUUACUGCGAAGGGGGGACGGAGAAGGCUAUGUUGGCCGGGCGACGGUUGUCCCGGUUUAAGCGUGUAGGCUGGUUUUCCAGGCAAAUCCGGAAAAUCAAGGCUGAGGCGUGAUGACGAGGCACUACGGUGCUGAAGCAACAAAUGCCCUGCUUCCAGGAAAAGCCUCUAAGCAUCAGGUAACAUCAAAUCGUACCCCAAACCGACACAGGUGGUCAGGUAGAGAAUACCAAGGCGCUUGAGAGAACUCGGGUGAAGGAACUAGGCAAAAUGGUGCCGUAACUUCGGGAGAAGGCACGCUGAUAUGUAGGUGAAGUCCCUCGCGGAUGGAGCUGAAAUCAGUCGAAGAUACCAGCUGGCUGCAACUGUUUAUUAAAAACACAGCACUGUGCAAACACGAAAGUGGACGUAUACGGUGUGACGCCUGCCCGGUGCCGGAAGGUUAAUUGAUGGGGUUAGCGCAAGCGAAGCUCUUGAUCGAAGCCCCGGUAAACGGCGGCCGUAACUAUAACGGUCCUAAGGUAGCGAAAUUCCUUGUCGGGUAAGUUCCGACCUGCACGAAUGGCGUAAUGAUGGCCAGGCUGUCUCCACCCGAGACUCAGUGAAAUUGAACUCGCUGUGAAGAUGCAGUGUACCCGCGGCAAGACGGAAAGACCCCGUGAACCUUUACUAUAGCUUGACACUGAACAUUGAGCCUUGAUGUGUAGGAUAGGUGGGAGGCUU